UCUACGGGAGGCAGCAGUGAGGAAUAUUGGUCAAUGGGCGCGAGCCUGAACCAGCCAAGUAGCGUGAAGGAUGACUGCCCUAUGGGUUGUAAACUUCUUUUAUAAAGGAAUAAAGUGAGGCACGUGUGCCUUUUUGUAUGUACUUUAUGAAUAAGGAUCGGCUAACUCCGUGCCAGCAGCCGCGGUAAUACGGAGGAUCCGAGCGUUAUCCGGAUUUAUUUGGUGUAAAGGGAGCGUAGGUGGGUUGAUAAGGCAGUUGUGAAAGUUUGCGGCUCAACCGUAAAAUUGCAAUUGAUACUGGCAGUCUUGAGUACAGUAGAGGUGGGCGGAAUUCGUGGUGUAGCGGUGAAAUGCUUAGAUAUCACGAAGAACUCCGAUUGCGAAGGCAGCUUACUAAACUGCCACUGACAUUGAUGCUCGAAAGUGUGGGUAUCAAACAGGAUUAGAUACCCCAGUAGUC
rnacentral:rRNA from 1 species